GGUCAGAAGACAGACGAGAUCAUCUUCACCUUUUCAGGCCCAAGUCAACACAGCCUCUCUGCUAAGACAACUCGAACAUGAAGAUGAUACACUUGAUCCUGAUGGUAGUGAUGGCCUUCUCGGCCCUAAUGGGGCCAGCUCGAGCCCUCCCUGACCCCUUAGCCCUGGCUGACCCUGGGCCUAAUGCUCUUGCUGACCCCUUAGCCUUGGCUGAUCCUGGUCCAGAAGCCCUUGCUGACCCUAGACACGGGUGGUGUUGGCCCCACGGAGACCACUGGCACUGCCACCCCCGCAGAGGGUGAUGUCCACCUGCCUCCUCACCUCAUCCCUACACCAACAGCUUCCCGGAUCCAUAUACCGCUUUAAGGUUCUUUGCCACGGUGUCUCACUUUGCUUAAGCAGCUUUAGGCUAUUAUUUUUUGCUUCUGGAAAAUGUUAAAUUGGAUAAUUAUUCAUUGGAAAUAAACAUAUAUAAGUAGAUUA